ACACUUGUAGGUGUGAAUGCCAACAUUUAUACUAUCCUGGACCUUUCCAAAAAAGUUCCUUGCAUAAGGAAAUUAGGAGUUCAAAUCGAGCUAACGCCUUAUGAUGACCAUGACGACCUUAUCAGUUACUUUGGUUGUGUUUCAACACUUGAAAGUUUGAAGAUAUUGAAAUGUAGUAUCAUAAAUCCUGUGGUGAAGUACGGUUAUGCAUUUCCUAGUUCAUUGUUAACUUUUCCAGGUGUAUUGAAAAAGUUACAUUUGAGUGGCAUGUGUUUUUCUUGGGAACACAUGGAUGUAAUCGGCUCUUUGCCAUUUCUUGAAGUGCUCAAAUUGCGAGCCUACGCCUUUCGGGGUCCAAAGUGGGAAGCGCGAGAGGGAAGUUUUAUGAAAGUUAAGUUUCUUCUAGUUAAAGACAGUGAUUUGGUGCAAUGGAAACCAAAAUUUGGAAGCUUCCCUGAUCUUGUGUGCCUAAGCAUGAAACAUUGCUACAAACUAGAAGAGAUCCAUUGGCCGUCUAAAAUUUCAUUCGGAGUGAUUGAAUUAAGGAACUGCAAUCCUGUAGCUUUGACUUGUGCUAAGCAGUUACAACUGGGAAGAUAUGCUUCCAUUGAUGUUACGGCCACUUCUUCUUUCGACGAGAAACCCAUUGCUAUCAAGUUUACAAGGUUAGUAUUGCAACUGCUGAUCAAUUUUUGAAUAUGGGAUUUCAAAUUCUAAUCAUUCUCAAAUUAUACUUUAGUUUACAUUUUGAUGCUAUAAAAUAUUUUCUUCUGGUCAAAGUGUUUUACUUUGCAACCUUUGUUUUUCUUAUUAAUAAGUCUAUAGAUGAGAAAUUUCACAAGUAAUUAAAAUGAGGGAGGUGUUUCUAUAAUGUGUGUGGGUGUGUGUAGGUUCAUUGUGGGUUGCUACAACUUUGACACAAACACAUUUAUUUAUUUUCACACCCUAUAUUUAUCUGUUAAUUUUCAGGCAUGGGUUUGAAAGAUUGAGACAGAAAGGUGAGGCACCAUAUUCUCCAUUCCCACUCUCAGUCUUUGUAUUAUUAGAUUGUCAUCUCAAUUUAAGAAUUAUGACUUACUAUUUUGGAUUGUGUUGAAGAAUUGUGACUGCCUAUUUUGAAUUGUGACUAGUAUAAAUGUGACUGAAGGAAGCUAAUCUUUUGAUAUGAACAAUUUUUGCUUUGUUUUGGUAUCACAUGUCAUCAUUAGGUUUAAUUAAGUACCAAUAAUAAUAAUUUGUAGCUGUUUACAAAAUGAAACCAGAUAGAAUGUUAAUGUAUAUUCAAUGAAUCAAUAUAUAUAUUAUUCUAAAUAUAUUUUAUUGGAUAUAGAUAUUUAUUUAUAAGUCUUAUCAAAUGGCUACAGAUUUAUAUCAAAUAGAUUUAGUAUAAUAUUGAAUGAAUUAAUAUAUUCCUAUAAAUAGAUUUAAUAUAAUAUUUUGUACUCAAGACACUUUUUCUAUUAGUAUAGAUAGAUUAAAUUUGUGAUUUAAUUUGAUUUGUAUUCAAACUAGCUCAGUCUUAUAGUCUUAUUAUGGUAUAGAUUGAUAUGCCUAAAGAAUUUCAUGAUGUGUUUGUUUUAAAUACAUAAACUUUACACAGUUUUGGUUUUUCCCAAAAUAAAUAAAAGUUUGUUCUAAAUACAUAAACUUUCAUAAUUUUUGGAAUUUCCCAUAAAAGUCAAUUCAGACAAAAUUGAAUCUGGCGUGACGCUGAAUUUUGCUGACGUAGAAGAUAUAUAUGAUGUUGUAUACUAUAAAACUUGGAUAUUUUAAUUAUUGUGAAAUAAAUUGUACCAAAUUAAACCUUUAAGAUAUUACACGACAACAAAAUCCGAUUCUAAGACAUAUUCAAUUUUAUGUGAAUUGACUUUCGUGGGAAAUUUCAAAAUGUGUGAAAGUUUGUGUAUUUAGAACACUUUUUUAUUUGUUUUGGGAAAAACCAAAAAUUGUGUAAAGUUUGUGGAUUUAAAACAAAUUAACCCAAAAAAAAUUGUGUAUUCACCUCGUGAUACCACAGAUGCUGUGGGUGUUCAUGCUGCUGAUGUUGAUGAAGAAGGCUCCAUUGAUGAAGAAGGCUCCUUUGAUGAUGAAAGCUCCAUUGAUGAAGAAGGCUCCUUUAAUGCUACCGAGUCCAAAGAUGAUGAAUGAUGAGAAUUUAUGAAUUCAGUCAUUUAAGAUGCAUAUUGUACAUUAAUUUCCACAUUUUUGGUUCCCAUUGAUUGUUUAGUGAUCGAUUUGAUGAGAUUAUUGAUUGAAGAUGUGGAAUAUCUCAUCAAGAAUUAUAUGUGUAGAACAGUUUGAGAUGUGAGUAAUGAAAUUUUAAAGGUUUUUCUUGAGGUAGAAUUGGCUUAAGAUGGGUUCUGUUCUGUUUUUGGUAGAGGCGAGUGUGAAAAGUCUGCCUCUUUGCAUAUAAAAAGAAAUUAUUUUAAUGAAUGAGUAUAUUUUAUGAGUGUAAAUUUAUAUUUCAUUUCAUAGUAAUAUUUAUUAUUUUAAUAUAUUUUUUGAAUUAAUUAUCGUAUAAUUUUGUAGAAGUAUAAUUUUGUAGAAUUCAUAAAAUUGAAAACAAAAUCAUGUAAAUUAGUACUCCCUCCGUCCCACGAAUCUUGACACGUUUGGUUUCGGCACGGGAAUUAAGGAGUUGUAGAUUAGUAUUUUAAGUGUGUAGUUAAUAAAGUAUAAAAAUGAUAAAGUAGGAGAGAGAGUUUAAUAAUUAUUACUCCCUCCGUCCCACCAUUUUAGUCCCCUCCCACUUUUCACACAUAUUAAGAAAAUGCAUUUAAUUUUUAUAUUUUUAUCUUUUAUACCCUUAUUUAUUAUUUUCACACAUCCUUUUCACAUUUAAGUGAAGCAUUAAAUAAGGUUAAUUUAGUAAAAACAAUAUUUUUAUAUAGUAUUAAUUAGAAAAGUGGACUAUCUUUUUGGGACAUCUCAAAAUGGAAUAAGGGACUAAAAUAGUGGGACGGNGAAAUUAGGAGUUCAAAUCGAGCUAACGCCUUAUGAUGACCAUGACGACCUUAUCAGUUACUUUGGUUGUGUUUCAACACUUGAAAGUUUGAAGAUAUUGAAAUGUAGUAUCAUAAAUCCUGUGGUGAAGUACGGUUAUGCAUUUCCUAGUCCAUUGUUAACUUUUCCAGGUGUAUUGAAAAAGUUACAUUUGAGUGGCAUGUGUUUUUCUUGGGAACACAUGGAUGUAAUCGGCUCUUUGCCAUUUCUUGAAGUGCUCAAAUUGCGAGCCUACGCCUUUCGGGGUCCAAAGUGGGAAGCGCGAGAGGGAAGUUUUAUGAAAGUUAAGUUUCUUCUAGUUAAAGACAGUGAUUUGGUGCAAUGGAAACCAAAAUUUGGAAGCUUCCCUGAUCUUGUGUGCCUAAGCAUGAAACAUUGCUACAAACUAGAAGAGAUCCAUUGGCCGUCUAAAAUUUCAUUCGGAGUGAUUGAGUUAAGAAACUGCAAUCCUGUAGCUUUGACUUGUGCUAAGCAGUUACAAGUGGGAAGAUAUGCUUCCGUUGAUGUUACGGCCACUUCUUCUUUCGACGAGAAACCCAUUGCUAUCAAGUUUACAAGGUUAGUAUUGCAACUGCUGAUCAGUUUAUGAAUAUGGGAUUUCAAAUUCUAAUCAUUCUCAAAUUAUACUUUAGUUUACAUUUUGAUGCUAUAAAAUAUUUU
rnacentral:lncRNA from 1 species